AUACGGAGGAUCCGAGCGUUAUCCGGAUUUAUUGGGUUUAAAGGGAGCGUAGGUGGACAGUUAAGUCAGUUGUGAAAGUUUGCGGCUCAACCGUAAAAUUGCAGUUGAUACUGGCUGUCUUGAGUACAGUAGAGGUGGGCGGAAUUCGUGGGGUAGCGGUGGAAUGCUUAGAUAUCACGAAGAACUCCGAUUGCGAAGGCAGCUCACUGGACUGCAACUGACACUGAUGCUCGAAAGUGUGGGUAUCAAACAGGAUUAGAUACCCUGGUAGUCCACACAGUAAACGAUGAAUACUCGCUGUUUGCGAUAUACAGUAAGCGGCCAAGCGAAAGCACUAAGUAUUCCACCUGGGGAGUACGCCGGCAACGGUGAAACUCAAAUGAAUUGACGGGG
rnacentral:rRNA from 1 species